UCUUCAUUUCCCGCACUAUCUCACCGGCCAGAGAGGCGAGAGAGUGUGUGAAAUGAAGAGA
rfam:Pristionchus pacificus strain PS312 contig8033, whole genome shotgun sequence.